GUGGGGAAUAUUGCGCAAUGGGGGAAACCCUGACGCAGCGACGCCGCGUGGAGGAUGAAGGUCUUCGGGUUGUAAACUCCUUUUCUUGGGAAAGAUAAUGACGGUACCCAAGGAAUAAGCCACGGCUAACUCUGUGCCAGCAGCCGCGGUAAGACAGAGGUGGCGAGCGUUGUUCGGAAUUACUGGGCUUAAAGGGCGAGUAGGCGGUGGAGCAAGUCUGAGGUGGAAUCUUAGGGCUUAACCCUAAAACUGCCUUAGAAACUGUUUUACUUGAGUCAGUGAGGGGAGGGCGGAAUUCCUGGUGUAGCGGUGAAAUGCGUAGAUAUCAGGAGGAAGGCCUGUGGCGAAGGCGGCCCUCUGGCACUGUACUGACGCUGAGGCGCGAAAGCGUGGGUAGCAAACAGGAUUAGAUACCCGAGUAGUCC
rnacentral:rRNA from 1 species